rnacentral:rRNA from 1 species
GACGAACGCUGGCGGCGUGCCUAAUACAUGCAAGUCGAACGCAGUGGGGACGGGUGCGUAACACCUGGGUAACCUCCCAUCAGAGGGGAUAACACGUGGCAACAGGUGCUAAACCGAUACUGAUUGAUGGACCCGCGGUGCAUUAGCUAGUUGGUGAGGUAACGGCUCACCAAGGCCACGAUGCAUAGCCGACCUGAGAGGGUGAUCGGCCACACUUGGACUGAGACACGGCCCAGACUCCUACGGGAGGCAGCAGUAGGGAAUAUUGGGCAAUGGACGAAAGUCUGACCGAGCAACGCCGCGUGAGUGAAGAAGGUUUUCGGAUCGUAAAACUCGUUUGUUAGAGAAGCGGUAUCUAACCAGAAAGCCACGGCUAACUACGUGCCAGCAGCCGCGGUAAUAC